UUGGCUUAGAAGCAGCCAUCAUUUAAAGAAAGCGUAAUAGCUCACUGGUCGAGUCGGCCUGCGCGGAAGAUGUAACGGGGCUAAACCAUGCACCGAAGCUGCGGCAGCGACACUAUGUGUUGUUGGGUAGGGGAGCGUUCUGUAAGCCUGUGAAGGUGUGCUGUGAGGUAUGCUGGAGGUAUCAGAAGUGCGAAUGCUGACAUAAGUAACGAUAAAGCGGGUGAAAAGCCCGCUCGCCGGAAGACCAAGGGUUCCUGUCCAACGUUAAUCG
rnacentral:rRNA from 1 species